GGUGCCGGCAAGGCCCAGCACGAUGGGAUGUUCGCGCAACGCGAAGAGUGAACCGAUGGGAUUGGCGCGAACCCAACUGAACCGGCGGCGGUUUUCGGGCGCAAGCGAUUCCGGCAAAACGAAACAACCAUACAGCCAAUUCACCAGCGUGAGUCCACCCGCGACCAAAAACGGCAGGCGAAGACUGUAAUGGCCCAGCACUCCGCCCAACAUCGGCCCGGCGAUGAAUCCGAUACCGAACGCCGCGCCGAUCAGGCCAAAAUUCGCCGCGCGUUUCUCCGGUGGACUCACGUCCGCGAUAUAGGCGCUGGCCGCGGCAAUGUUCGCGCCGGUGAUGCCCGAAAUAAUUCGUCCGAUGAAGAACGCAGC
rnacentral:misc_RNA from 1 species